UACGUAGGGGGCAAGCGUUGUCCGGAUUUAUUGGGCGUAAAGAGCUCGUAGGCGGCUCACUAAGUCGGAUGUGAAAACUCCAGGCUCAACCUGGAGACGCCAUUCGAUACUGGUGUGGCUUGAGUUCGGUAGGGGAGCACGGAAUUCCUGGUGUAGCGGUGAAAUGCGCAGAUAUCAGGAGGAACACCGGUGGCGAAGGCGGUGCUCUAGUACGGUACUGACGCUGAGACGCGAAAGCGUGGGGAGCGAACAGG
rnacentral:rRNA from 1 species